rnacentral:misc_RNA from 1 species
GGGGGAUUUGUGACGGCGCCCGGUCGAAGAUCUCGUGGACGCAGGUGGAGACGGGGUCGGCGAUUACAUGGAAGUAUCCGAGCGUGGUGCUGAAGGGGGAUGAUAGUGUUGGGGAGUUCUAUUCAGUGGCGUUGACUAAGGAUCAUCAGCAGGCGGAUACGGGGACGAAGAUGAUUCACGUGGGGAAGAAUUCAAGGAGUAGGAUUGUUUCGAAGGGGAUCUCGGCUGGGAAAUCUAGGAAUUGCUACCGGGGGCUAGUUCAGAUGGGGCCUCAGGCGGACCGUGCUCGGAAUUUCUCGCAGUGUGAUUCUAUGCUGAUCGGCGAUACAGCGGCAGCAAAUACUUAUCCCUACAUACAGGUUAAGAACCCCACAGCUCGUGUAGAGCACGAGGCCAGUACGUCGAAGAUUGGUGAGGACCAGCUAUUCUAUUUUCAGCAGAGAGGAAUUGAUCACGAGCAAGCUGUCGCUGCGAUGAUCGGUGGAUUCUGCAGGGACGUUUUCGACAAGCUCCCGCUAGAGUUUGCUUCAGAGGUGAAU